rnacentral:rRNA from 1 species
AAAACCAUGAAUGUAUUGGAAUUUAAAAAA